AUGCGCCCAAAGGAACCUGAUUUUGUGUCCCACGCCCACCAGAGUUGGAUGCCAAUUCUCCUCACUUUAUUAGCAUGUAAGAGAGAAGAGAUCUCCCUGGUUACUGUGCAAAAUAUUGGGGGUAUGAUCUGGUUGUUGGGCGGCAAUUAAAUUGGAGGAAACCUAAGUAUUUUGGACUUCUAUCUCCAAUCCAAAGUAGGACCCCAUCCAACACCUAUUUAAGCAG
rnacentral:lncRNA from 1 species